rnacentral:ribozyme from 12 species
UUUUGCUUUAUUUAAUUUAUUUGUCCUCAAGGGACUCACUUUGAAAAACAGAAAGAAAAAAAGAGCACAAAAAUUAAAAUAAUGGUCCUGAUAUCAAUUUUUUUUCUUCUCUUUUUUUGAAAGGCCUCCUUCGCACUUCAGGAGGGAAAAAAAAAAAA